rnacentral:ncRNA from 1 species
CGUCAAGUCAUCAUGGCCCUUACGGCCAGGGCUACACACGUGCUACAAUGGUCGGUACAAAGGGUUGCCAAGCCGCGAGGUGGAGCUAAUCCCAUAAAACCGAUCGUAGUCCGGAUCGCAGUCUGCAACUCGACUGCGUGAAGUCGGAAUCGCUAGUAAUCGUGAAUCAGAACGUCACGGUGAAUACGUUCCCGGGCCUUGUACACACCGCCCGUCACACCAUGGGAGUGGGUUGCUCCAGAAGUAGCUAGUCUAACCCUCGGGAGGACGGUUACCACGGAGUGAUUCAUGACUGGGGUGAAGUCGUAACAAGGUAGCCGUAGGGGAACCUGCGGCUGGAUCACCUCCUUA